AGUGAACGCUGGCGGCGUGCUUAACACAUGCAAGUCGAACGAGAACGGAUUAUAGCUUGCUAUAAUUGUCAGCUAAGUGGCGCACGGGUGAGUAAUGUAUAGGUAAUAUGCCUCUUACUAAGGGAUAACAAAUGGAAACGUUUGCUAAUACCUUAUACUCCUUAUUAACAGAAGUUAAUAAGGGAAAGAUUUAUUGGUAAGAGAUUAGCCUGUAUUGUAUCAGUUAGUUGGUGGGGUAAUGGCUUACCAAGACUAUGACACAUAACUGGUUUGAGAGGAUGAUCAGUCACACUGGAACUGAGACACGGUCCAGACUCCUAAGGGAGGCAGCAGUGGGGAAUAUUGCACAUGGACGAAAGUCUGAUGCAGCAACGCCGCGUGGAGGAUGACACAUUUCGGUGCGUAAACUCCUUUUAUAUGAGAAGAUAAUGACGGUAUUAUAUGAAUAAGCACCGGCUAACUCCGUGCCAGCCGCCGCAGUAA
rnacentral:rRNA from 1 species